GUCCUAGCCCUAAACGGUGUUCACUUGGUGUGCGGGGUUUCGACCCCCUGCGUGCCGUAGCUAACGCGAUAAGUGAACCGCCUGGGAAGUACGGUCGCAAGAUUAAAACUCAAAGAAAUUGACGGGGGCCCGCACAAGCGGUGGAGCAUGUGGCUUAAUUCGAUGCAACGCGAAGAACCUUACCUGGCCUUGACAUCUAUCACGAAAAUCGGUGAAAGCCGGUGACGGCCCGAAAGGGUGCAGGGGAUAGACAGGUGCUGCAUGGUUGUCGU
rnacentral:rRNA from 1 species